rnacentral:rRNA from 1 species
AUUGAACGCUGUCGGCAGGCCUAACACAUGCAAGUCGGGCGAGCGGCGGACGGGUGCUUAAUGUAGGGGGACUGCCUUAUGGCGGGGGAUAACUCCUGGAAACGGUAGCUAAUUCCGCAUCACAUCAGAUAACCCAUAUGGGAUUAGCUUGUAGGUGAGGUAACGGCUCACCUAGGCGACGAUCCCUAGCUGGCCUGAAAGGAUGAGCAGCCACUCUGGGAGUGAGACACGGCCCAGAUUCCUACGGAGGCAGCAGUGGGGAAUAGUGCAAAAUGGAUGCAAGCCUGAUGCAGCCAUGCCGCGUGUAUGAAGAGGGCCUUCGGGUUGUAAAGUACGUGCAGGCGGGAGUCGGUGCAGACAGUAGAAGCACCGGCUAACUCCGUGCCAGCAGCCGCGGUAAUUC